rnacentral:rRNA from 1 species
CCUACGGGAGGCAGCAGUGGGGAAUCUUGCGCAAUGGGCGAAAGCCUGACGCAGCAACGCCGCGUGCGGGAAGAAGGCUUUCGGGCUGUAAACCGCUUUCAGCAGGAACGAAAAUGACGGUACCUGCAGAAGAAGGAGCGGCCAACUAUGUGCCAGCAGCCGCGGUGAUACAUAGGCUUCAAGCGUUGUCCGGAUUUAUUGGGCGUAAAGAGUUCGUAGGCGGUCAAGUAAGUCGGGUGUGAAAAUUCUGGGCUCAACCCAGAGACGCCACCCGAUACUGCUUAACUUGAGUUCGAUAGGGGAGUGGGGAAUUCCUAGUGUAGCGGUGAAAUGCGCAGAUAUUAGGAGGAACACCGGUGGCGAAGGCGCCACUCUGGAUCGAUACUGACGCUGAGGAACGAAAGCAUGGGUAGCAAACAGGAUUAGAUACCCUGGUAGUCCAUGCCGUAAACGGUGGGCACUAGGUGUGGGUUUCUAUUAACGAAAUCCGCGCCGUCGCUAACGCAUUAAGUGCCCGCCUGGGAGUCGGUCGCAGCUAAACCNCGAAGAUGAACG